GAUGAACGCUGACAGAAUGCUUAACACAUGCAAGUCGAUGGGGAAGUGGUGCUUGCACCAUGGUAACCAUGGCGGACGGGUGAGUAACGCGUAAGGAACUUGCCUGCGGGACUGGGAUAGCAGCAGGAAACUGCUGAUAAUAUCGGAUAAGGUCAUUAAGCUGCAUAGCUUAGUGAUGAAAGGAGACGCCUGCGGAGAGCCUUGCGUCCUAUUAGCUAGUUGGAGGGGUAACGGCCCACCAAGGCGAAGAUAGGUAGCCGGCCUGAGAGGGUGGACGGCCACAAGGGGACUGAGAUACGGCCCUUACUCCUACGGGAGGCAGCAGUGGGGAAUAUUGGACAAUGGGGGCAACCCUGAUCCAGCAAUUCUGUGUGCACGAAGACGGUUUUCGGAUUGUAAAGUGCUUUCAGCAGGGAAGAAGGAAGUGACGGUACCUGCAGAAGAAGCGACGGCUAAAUACGUG
rnacentral:rRNA from 1 species